GAUGAACGCUAGCUACAGGCUUAACACAUGCAAGUCGAGGGGCAGCAUGGUCUUAGCUUGCUAAGGCCGAUGGCGACCGGCGCACGGGUGAGUAACACGUAUCCAACCUGCCGUCUACUCUUGGACAGCCUUCUGAAAGGAAGAUUAAUACAAGAUGGCAUCAUGAGUCCGCAUGUUCACAUGAUUAGAGGUAUUCCGGUAGACGAUGGGGAUGCGUUCCAUUAGAUAGUAGGCGGGGUAACGGCCCACCUAGUCUUCGAUGGAUAGGGGUUCUGAGAGGAAGGUCCCCCACAUGGGAACUGAGACACGGUCCAAACUCCUACGGGAGGCAGCAGUGAGGAAUAUUGGUCAAUGGGCGAGAGCCUGAACCAGCCAAGUAGCGUGAAGGAUGACUGCCCUAUGGGUUGUAAACUUCUUUUAGAAAGGAAUAAAGUCGGGUAUGGAUACCCGUUUGCAUGUACUUUAUGAAUAAGGAUCGGCUAACUCCGUG
rnacentral:rRNA from 1 species